rnacentral:rRNA from 1 species
UACAGAGGGUGCGAGCGUUGUUCGGAAUUAUUGGGCGUAAAGGGCGCGUAGGCGGUGCGGUAAGUCACCUGUGAAAUCUCCGGGCUCAACUCGGAGUCUGCAUCAGAAACUGCCGUGCUCGAGUGUGGGAGAGGUGAGUGGAAUUCCCGGUGUAGCGGUGAAAUGCGUAGAUAUCGGGAGGAAUACCGAUGGCGAAGGCAGGUCUCUGGGCUGACACUGACGCUCAUGCACGAAAGCGUGGGGAGCAAACAGG